AGAAUAAUGUGUUUUUUAUAUUCAGUGAUAUCAAAAAGAUCUUGGACAAAAAUACUUCAAGUUGGUCGGCAGAUGUUUAUCUCUGUAACAUUGCAAUUUACAUGUUAUGCAUGUUUCUUGAAAAAAAUUAGACAAAUUGGUUAGAUCUUAACUAUUUCAUUUCUAACUGGAAUACUUAAUGGUCCCCAGAGUACUGUUUAAAAAAGAAAAGGGUUUGUAUGGUUUUUGUUUGUUGCUGAAAUUGUCAGCAUCCCACUUUUUAAGCAGUCUGCAAAGCAGGGAAAAUACAGGUGGCUUCAUCUUUAUUGAGUUCAGUUUCUGCCUUCUUCCAUCGCCUGUAGCCACUGCCCUUGCCUUGCCCCUCGUUUUCAGCCAGACCUCCUGGAAGUGCUGUCCAUCCUUAUCUUUACUUUCUCACUUACUGACUCCACAGCAUACUCCAUUCUGACUUGAGAGCCCCUCUCUCCCUUCCUAAGAAGAGGUGCCCACCUCAGUCACGUGCAAGCUGAUGGUAGCCAAAUCUGGUCGAAUGAGGGCCUUCUCUUAUUAGACAUCUUAGCGUUGACACCACUGGUCACUCCGUCCUUCUUAAAAUACUCCAUUUCCUCAGCUUCCACUGGCUCAGUGUCACAUGGUCUUGGUUUCUUUUGCAGACAUGUCUCCACUGCCUGUCUCAUGAAUGUCCAUGCUCCUGAGUUCGGGCCCACAGCCAGUUUCCUGUCUCUGCAGAGCUUUUAACUGGGCAGGUGCCUCCACUUGCGCACCCUGUUAUUUAUGUGCUGAUAACUUUUGUCUAGUCUUUCUCCCGACUCCCAAACUGCCUCUUGGGUAGCCCCACCUCGAUGUCCCUUAGGCAUUUCAAACUUCGUGUGUCCCAGGCUGAGCUCCUCUUCCCUUCCUGUGCUCUCCCGAACCACUUACUGUUCUUGGGUUUCUUGUCUUGGUGAGUGGCACUGAUCUACUAGUUAUCAGUGUCAGAAGUGUGGACUUCAUUUAUUCCCUUUCGUGUCCAUUUCCAAGCAGUUGCCAUUCCCUUACGUGAAUAGGUGGAAACAUGUCUCAGAUCUGCCUGUUUUUCUUCAUGGCUACUGAUGCCACCCUCGUCCUGGCCACUCUCAUUUCUUGCCUCCUUGGCGAUGGCUGCUUCCUCCGUGAGUUUCCCGUCAUCUUCAGUCCUCCUGAAUAUAUUUAUAGUUGUGUCAGUUAGAAUGUUUUAAUCUGGAAGUAACAGGAACCAAGAAAGUCGGCGUACACAUGAGGACGUAUGUUUCGCAGGAGCGUGAAGAGCUGGCAUUCCAGAUCGGCUUCGUGCAGUGGCUGACAGUGUGAGCCACUCCCCGGCCUUCCUUUCUGCCUUUCUCUGUGGGCCAGUAGCUCCCUAAUGGUCCAGAUAUGACCGCCAUAGUCUCAGCUUCACAUUAUGCUGAGCCACCUAUAGA